GCUUGUCUCAAAGAUUAAGCCAUGCAUGUCUAAGUGUAAAUAAGUCUAUACUGUGAAACUGCGAAUGGCUCAUUAAAUCAGUUAUCGUUUAUUUGAUGAUCUCUUACUACUUGGAUAACCGUAGUAAUUCUAGAGCUAAUACAUGCACAAAAUCCCGACUUACGAAGGGAUGUAUUUAUUAGAUACAAACCAACAUCGUGGUGAUUCAUAAUAACUUUGCGAAUCGUAUGCCUCACGGCGACGAUGAAUCAUUCAAAUUUCUGCCCUAUCAUGGUUGAGAUUGUAAGAUAGAGGCUUACAAUGCCUACAACGGGUAACGGGGAAUUAGGGUUCGAUUCCGGAGAGGGAGCCUGAGAAACGGCUACCACAUCCAAGGAAGGCAGCAGG
rnacentral:rRNA from 1 species